rnacentral:rRNA from 1 species
UACGUAGGGUGCAAGCGUUGUCCGGAAUUAUUGGGCGUAAAGAGCUCGUAGGCGGCUCGUUGCGUCAACCGUGAAAACCCGGGGCUUAACUUCGGGCUUGCGGUUGAUACGGGCGGGCUGGAGUUCGGUAGGGGAGACUGGAAUUCCUGGUGUAGCGGUGAAAUGCGCAGAUAUCAGGAGGAACACCGGUGGCGAAGGCGGGUCUCUGGGCCGAUACUGACGCUGAGGGGCGAAAGCGUGGGGAGCGAACAGG